rnacentral:rRNA from 1 species
UACGUAGGUGGCGAGCGUUAUCUGGAUUUAUUGGGCGUAAAGCGAGCGCAGGUGGUUUAUUAAGUCUGGUGUAAAAGGCAGUGGCUCAACCAUUGUAUGCAUUGGAAACUGGUAGACUUGAGUGCAGGAGAGGAGAGUGGAAUUCCAUGUGUAGCGGUGAAAUGCGUAGAUAUAUGGAGGAACACCGGUGGCGAAAGCGGCUCUCUGGCCUGUAACUGACACUGAGGCUCGAAAGCGUGGGGAGCAAACAGG